GCACCUUUUUGUUUUGUUCUUUCAGUUGCCGUAAGUUCAUGAUAUUGUAAAAUUAUUGUAGAGAACGUGUCCUUGUUUAAUGAAUUUUAGCUUAUAUGGUACAAAUUGAGUAAAAGUUAGUGCAUCACAGAGUGCUAUUCAAGAUUAAUGACUAUUAUUUUAUGAUUUGCUGGUUGGGCAACCUGAUGAGGUCAUCACCUCCAUCUCUUGUGCUAAAACUUUAGAUUGCAUUGUUAUAUUACAAGAAGUUUACGUUCAUGGACAUGAUUAUAUCUGAACUUUCAAGUAUUAUACCUUGCUGGGAUACAUCAUGAUGAAUCAGCAAAAAUGAAUAUAUAGAUCGAGCACUCGGUCGAUGAUUUCAACUUCCCGAUGACGAUGGAAUAAACAAACAACCACGAGAGGCUGCACUCCAAUGUGUCUCUCUCACAGUUCUAUUUGCUAAACCCUCGAGCACGACUGGAGACGA